UAGUUUUCUAUUGGUGUAAGUGGAUAAUUCCUUAAAUAUAAUAACUAUAAUUAUAAGUAUAAUCCUAAUUUUAGAAAUUUCAUUGUAAUAAUCUAAAUUUGUCCGGCCCAAAUCAGAAAUAAAUAAAUAAACAAAAAUAUAAAUAAAAACAAAAAUUAUUAAAAGUCCAUCAGUCCAUAUUACAAACCCAAAAUACAUCAGACCCACUAAGCCCCAAUAUCACAACCCAAAUUAACC
rnacentral:lncRNA from 1 species